CAACUAGCCCUGAAAAUGGAUGGCGCUAAAGCGCCCCACUUAUACCCGACCGUUGCGGCAGAGCAGACCCAUUGUGGUCCUCACGCCGCAACGAGUAGGAAGGUCGCAGGGGUGGCGCGGAAGGCUCUGAGAGUGAUCUUGGCUGGAGCCGCCCCUGGUGCAGAUCUUGGUUGUAGUAGCAAAUACUCCAGAGAGGCCCUGGAGGACCGAAGUGGAGAAGGGUUUCGUGUGAACAGCCGUUGAACACGAGUCAGUCGAUCCUAAGGCUUAGGGGAAGCCUUAAUCAAGCGUUUGGAGAAAUUUUUUUUUUUACGAAAAAAAUACCAAAUGAGAGCCGAAAGGGAAUCUGGUCCAUAUUCCAGAACCUGGUAGCGGAAUCGUUCGGACCCUCGUAUCCGUCGUGGCAACGCGACACGACCAGGAGACGCCCACCGAAGCUCUGGGAAGAGUUGUCUUUUCUGCAUAAGCCGCCGAGGCCCUGGAAUCCUCCUUGCAGGGAGAAUGGGUUUUGGCAUUGGCGAAGAGUGCUGCAGUUCUCGCAGCAUCCACGAGUGGUCGGUGGGACCUUGAAAAUACCUGGGGAGAUUACGGCGGACUCGCACCAGCUCGUACCCAUAUC
rnacentral:rRNA from 1 species